UAAGACGUAGGGGGCGAGCGUUGUCCGGAUUUAUUGGGCGUAAAGCGCGCGUAGGCGGCUCGUUAAGUCGGUUGUGAAAACCCGGGGCUCAACCCCGGGCCUGCAUCCGAUACUGGCGAGCUGGAGGCAGGUAGGGGAGAGUGGAAUUCCCGGUGUAGCGGUGAAAUGCGCAGAUAUCGGGAGGAACACCGGUGGCGAAGGCGGCUCUCUGGGCCUGUCCUGACGCUCAUGCGCGAAAGCUAGGGGAGCAAACAGGAUUAGAUACCCUGGUAGUCCUAGCCGUAAACGUUGGGUGCUAGGUGUGGGGUGGCGAUUGACCCGCCCUGUGCCGAAGCUAACGCAUUAAGCACCCCGCCUGGGGAGUACGGCCGCAAGGCUA
rnacentral:rRNA from 1 species